rnacentral:rRNA from 1 species
GACGAACGCUGGCGGCGUGCUUAACACAUGCAAGUCGAACGGAAAGGCCCUGCUUUUGUGGGGUUCCCGAGUGGCGAACGGGUGAGUAACACGUGUGUAACCUGCUCUUGACUUUGGGAUGACUUCAGGAAACUGGGGUUACUCUCGUAUAGGAGCUCCUGCUGCGUGGUGGGGGUUGGAAAGUCUCGGCGGUUGGGGAUGGAUUCGCGGCUUAUCAGCUUGUUGGUGGGGUAGUGGCUUACCCAGGCUUUGACGGGUAGCCGGCCUGAGAGGGUGACCGGCCACAUUGGGACUGAGAUACGGACCAGACUCCUACGGGAGGCAGCAGUGGGGAAUAUUGCACAAUGGGAGGAAGCCUGAUGCAGCAACGUCGCGGUCGGGAUGACGGCCUUCGGGUUGUAAACCGCUUUCGCCUGUGACGAAGCGUGAGUGACGGUAAUGGGUAAAGAAGCACCGGCUAACUACGUG